GGAUAAUCUGCAGUGAAGCCAAUCACCUGUCACCAGCAAUCAAAGCUUUUAUAGAAGAUGUCCCAGCACAUCUCUGCAAGGAGAAUAUAUGUGAACAUGGAUUUGUAAAAGAUGCACUAGAACUGACUGACAAAGGACCUGGCAGGCACUGCAUGAACAAGCCCCACAAGAACCUCAAGGCCCAGCCAUCAGGAGAGGGGAAGAUGGGUGCAGACCGCAGAACUAAACCCCGAGGAGCUGGUGCGUGGCAGGGACCUGCCCAAGGCAGGAGGAGGCAAACCCAGGGCCCCAGGAAUGCAUUCUCCACUGCAAGUACUGCAGCCUGGCGAGGGAUGUGCCCUUUCUUCUGUACACAACAGAGAAAGGAUCUUCCCUUUCCGUGGAAACCCCAGCCAAAGCCAGGUGGGGGUGAGGAUGGCUGGUUCCAAAAGAAGCCCAUGUACUCCUGAAUCCCAGCUCUUGUCACGGCUUCAGGUCUGGCAUCAUUGUGCUGUUUGUAAGCAGGUUUGCCUUGAGUCUCCCCGAUGAGUGUACAUGCUCACAGGACAGCGGGACACUGCGCACAACUCCUCUGUUUUGGGAAAGCAAACCAGAGCGCAGUUUGCUCCCAGAACACGUCUACAUUGCAGCUGCGUUAUUAGCUGGCGCUGGGGCUCCCCUUGAGCUCAGUGGUCUGAUGCAGCUGCUUGUAACUGCACAAAACCCUGUCCUUCACGAGGAAGGUGUGUUGUCUUUGGCCAGCUGGGAUGUGUUUCUUGGAUUGCUUCAAGAAUAGUUUCUGCUUUAAUAGACCUGAGCAGCUGAUGAUCUUAACGCUUGCUCUAAUUGCUAUUUAACUUCAGAACUGGUUUAAUGUGUGUAGCAGCAGGAGUUACAAAGAAAAUACCCUACCAGAAUUUAAAUAAUAAUAAUAUUGAAACAAAAAUACAAAGCCUUUAUAUGUACAGGGAGAGACUUAAAUACAUGUGGAGCUUUUUAGGCUCUGGGUUUAAAACAGUGUAAUCACAGAAACAGCAAGAUUGGCCAUAAGGGCAAGAGCUUGUGUCCUGAAAACCAGAAAGCAAGCAGACUGUGCAAAUUGCUUUCUAAUGGAUUUCUUAAGGGUCUGAAGGAGACUUGUUGGUUAAUCUAAGCUAAUUCCAAGUUUAAUUCUUGUUUUGUUACCAUUCAUCACGAUGUUGAUCAGGAACUGGAAUGAUGUUGAUCCAGAAUAGCUGGAAACUGAUGUGCUACUGAAACCUGCCAUAUUUUAUCUUUGAAUUGCCUGUGCACAGGAUUGGCAUCUUAAAGCCAACCUGCAACCAGGACCUGGUUCUCUUCUUGCAGAAUUGGCAGGGGGGGUAAAUCUCUGAUUUAGCACAGUAUUUCAGCACAGGCCUAGCACUAUUUGCACAGAAAGGACAGCAGAUUUCUUCCUGCUUUUUAGCCCCCUCAUGCUGCCUGGAGCUCUGUGCAAAUCUCUCCAGAACUGUCCCUUAUGGCUGAGGCUUUGCCCUCCUGCCCUCAGACCUGUGAAGAGCUGGGAGAUGCAGGAGGGAUGGCAGCCCUGCAGAAAGCUCACUCCUCCCUCCUGUGCCACAAAGGAGAGGAAACAGCUCUGAUGGAGGUGACCAAUGUUAUAAUCCAGCAGCAGAACCAUAUGCUGGCACGUUUUCACAGCCUAACCAGGCUGCAGGUGAGACAAUGACCAAAAUCCAGCUAACAUCCAACUGGAAAUUUAAGAGAUUGGCUUAAGGAAACCUGCAUACCCAGACGGUCUGCUGGGGACCAAAACACCCAACAAACUACAGAAAAUCAUCGAUGCUCCACAGUGACAUGAUUGUGUGACUUGGCACCAUGGGGAAUAAGGAAUGCAUCCGAGCAAACAAGUGAUUUAUUACUGCAAACACUGGCAUGGCCACAGAGAGACCUGCGCUCCUGCAAACAACCCCUCAGCACAGACAGCUCCACGAAUCUUGUCAUUUCCUAGGAAAUCACUCUUGUGUCACAUCAAAACCCCUUCCUUACUCUCAAUGCUGCAAGUCAGUGGAAGCCAGAAAGUGGACGCAGCCUCGCUCUUCAUCACAGCAUCUGUAAGUGUCUGUGUCUGCUGGGGGUAAAGCUGAGCUGUGAUCCUGCCCUUCAGGAAGUGGAGGGGUUCACAUUGGUCUCAGCCUGGCUUACAUCUCUGUGUACUACAGAAUAUGCACAUUUGUAUGUCCACAAGAAAAUAACACAACGCUUCUCCUUUGCUGAGGACAACUUUUAUAAGCACUGAAAACCCCUGUAAAGUAAGCCCUGUAACUAAGUACCAUGAACAAUGCCAUGAUU